AAUUGCAUCCACAUAGACAAGGCAAAGGCUUUCAAGAAAGAAUUUCAUGAGAAAAUUUUGCGCAAGCAUCUUCAACGUCUGUGGAUGUCAUUGAUAAUCCAGAAACUGCUAGUGUCCUCAGUCCUAUAUACAAGAAGAUGAAGGAUCCAUGUAGCCGGAACCAUUGAGAUGAUGGAGUCAGAAGAGGGGGCUGGAUCAUUUUCCCGGGGCAACUUCUGCAUGGUGAUGAAACUCAAGGGAACGUUGACCCUGAAGAGGACAGGGCUGCAUUGGAAAAUUCCUUUCUCCCUGCAGACCAGACUGUUGCUUAGUGCAAACAUAGUGCAAACUGAGUAAGGUUGUGCAUCUAACCAGAGGUC